rnacentral:miRNA from 1 species
CAUCUUACCAGGCAGUAUUAGA